AAUUUAGUUGAAAAAGUCAUGAACAUAAAAGUUGUAGAACUCAUCAAGACAUACAGUUUUUAUUUUGGUCAUUUUCUUUAUCUGACAAAGUGAUAGUAAUAUUGUUCAUAAAAUUUACAUCUCUCUUAUAGUUUAUAAAACCAAAUGAGAUAUAUAAUUUUAUGAACAAUGUUACUAUCACUUUAUCGAAUGAACAAAUGACCAAAAUAAAAGUUAUAGAUCUUGAUGAGUUAUACAACUUUGUUGUUGAUGACUUUUUCAGUUGAAAUC
rnacentral:pre_miRNA from 1 species